rnacentral:rRNA from 1 species
AACUCCCAACCCUAUGUGAAUUCUAUUCUUGUUGCCUCGGCGCCGAGCAGCGGCUACUUGGGAGCUACCCGGUUGACUACCUACCCUGUAGAUGGUUACCCGGUAGCUACCCUGUAGUUGCACUUAUGCUCCGCCGAUGGACCAUUCAACUCUUGUUUUUAUAGUGUAUCUCUGAACUAUUAUAACUAAAUAAGUUAAAACUUUCAACAACGGAUCUCUUGGUUUUGGCAUCGAUGAAGAACGCAGCGAAAUGCGAUAAGUAAUGUGAAUUGCAGAAUUCAGUGAAUCAUCGAAUCUUUGAACGCAUAUUGCGCCCAUUAGUAUUCUAGUGGGCAUGCCUAUUCGAGCGUCAUUUCAACCCUUACGCCCCGUAGCGUAGUGUUGGGAAUCUACCCUGUAGAAAGGGUAGUUCCCUAAAACUAGUGGCGGUGUCCGGUACACUCAUAGCGUAGUAAUUCUUUUCUCGCUUCUGCAGUAGACCGGAUCCCUCGCCGUAAAACCCCCUAUUUUUCUAGUGGUUGACCUCGGAUUAGGUAGGAAUACCCGCUGAACUUAAGCAUAUCAAUAAGCGGAGGAAAAGAAACCAACAGGGAUUGCCCUAGUAACGGCGAGUGAAGCGGCAACAGCUCAAAUUUGAAAUCUGGCCCUCGGGUCCGAAUUGUAAUUUGUAGAGGAUGCUUUUGGUGCGGUGCCUUCCGAGUUCCCUGGAACGGGACGCCAGAGAGGGUGAGAGCCCCGUACGGUUGGACACCUACCCUAUAUAUAGCUCCUUCGACGAGUCGAGUAGUUUGGGAAUGCUGCUCUAAAUGGGAGGUAAAUUUCUUCUAAAGCUAAAUACCGGCCAAAGACCGAUAGCGCACAAGUAGAGUGAUCGAAAGAUGAAAAGCACUUUGAAAAGAGGGUUAAAUAGCACGUGAAAUUGUUGAAAGGGAAGCGUUUGCGACCAGACUUUUUCCAGGCGGAUCAUCCGGUGUUCUCACCGGUGCACUUCGUCUGGUUUAGGCCAGCAUCGGUUUUCGGAGGGGGAUAAAAGCCUGGGGAACGUGGCUCUCUCGAGAGUGUUAUAGCCCCUAGCAUAAUACCCUUCCGGGGACCGAGGACCGC